UACAGAGGUCUCAAGCGUUGUUCGGAUUCAUUGGGCGUAAAGGGUGCGUAGGCGGCGCGGUAAGUCGGGUGUGAAAUCUUGGAGCUUAACUCCGAAACUGCAUUCGAUACUGCCGUGCUUGAGGACUGGAGAGGAGACUGGAAUUUACGGUGUAGCGGUGAAAUGCGUAGAUAAUCGUAAGGAACACCAGUGGCGAAGGCGGCUCACUGGCCCGGUACUGACGCUGAGGUGCGAAAGCGUGGGGAGCAAACAGG
rnacentral:rRNA from 1 species